UACGUAGGGUGCAAGCGUUGUCCGGAAUUAUUGGGCGUAAAGAGCUCGUAGGCGGUCUGUCGCGUCGGCUGUGAAAACCCGGGGCUCAACCCCGGGCCUGCAGUCGAUACGGGCAGACUAGAGUGCGGUAGGGGAGACUGGAAUUCCUGGUGUAGCGGUGAAAUGCGCAGAUAUCAGGAGGAACACCGGUGGCGAAGGCGGGUCUCUGGGCCGAUACUGACGCUGAGGCACGAAAGCGUGGGGAGCAAACAGG
rnacentral:rRNA from 1 species